GAUGAAGAACGCAGCGAAAUGCGAUAAGUAAUGCGAAUUGCAGAAUUUCCGUGAGUCAUCGAAUCUUUGAACGCACAUUGCGCCCACUGGUAUUCCGGUGGGUAUGCCUGUUCGAGCGUCAUUAUCCUCCCUCAAACCCCGGGUUUGGUGUUGGACCCAAGUUGUGUGAACAACUGGUCUCAAAGACAAUGACGGCGUCCGUGGGACCCUCGGUGCAACGAGCUUUUAGGAGCACGCAUCGAGUUGCAAGGACCUUCCGGGCCGGUCUCCUUUACCAUUUUACAAGGUUGACCUCGGAUCAGGUAGGAAUACCCGCUGAACUUAAGCAUAUCAAUAAGCGGAGGA
rnacentral:misc_RNA from 1 species